rnacentral:rRNA from 1 species
CGGCGGGAUUAACACAUGCAAGUCGAGCGAGAAGCGUCCUUCGGGGCGUGAGUAAAGCGGCGCACGGGUGAGUAACACGUGGGUAACCUACCCUCCGGUGGGGGACAACAGCUCGAAAGGGCUGCUAAUACCGCAUUCGUCGGUGACGGCUAAGGCUGUUACCGGGAAAGGUGGGGUCGAAAGACCUAUCGCCGGAGGAUGGGCCCGCGGCCCAUCAGCUAGUUGGUGAGGUAAUGGCUCACCAAGGCAAAGACGGGUAGCUGGUCUGAGAGGAUGAUCAGCCACACUGGGACUGAGACACGGCCCAGACUCCUACGGGAGGCAGCAGUGGGGAAUAUUGGACAAUGGGCGAAAGCCUGAUCCAGCCACGCCGCGUGUGUGAUGAAGGUCUUCGGAUCGUAAAGCACUGUGGGGAGGGAAGAAUAGGCAGUGAGCUAAUACCUCAUUGCUCUGACGGUACCUCCUUAGCAAGCACCGGCUAACUCCGUGCCAGCAGCCGCGGUAAUACGGAGGGUGCAAACGUUGCUCGGAAUCAUUGGGCGUAAAGCGCGUGUAGGCGGCUCGCUAAGUCGAGUGUGAAAGCCCUGGGCUCAACCCAGGAAGUGCGCUCGAAACUGACGAGCUAGAGUACGGGAGAGGGUAGUGGAAUUCCCGGUGUAGAGGUGAAAUUCGUAGAUAUCGGGAGGAACACCAGUGGCGAAGGCGGCUACCUGGACCGAUACUGACGCUGAGACGCGAAAGCGUGGGUAGCAAACAGGAUUAGAUACCCUGGUAGUCCACGCUGUAAACGAUGAGUGCUAGGUGUCGCGGGUAUUGACCCCUGCGCGCCGAAGCUAACGCAUUAAGCACUCCGCCUGGGGAGUACGGCCGCAAGGCUA